CUGGGCUGAGGCUAGGCAGAGAGGAUGGUCUGCCACCUGUGCAGAGCCCAGCUCCCUGCACCCCCACUGCCUCCCCAGCACAGGGAAGAAGGAAUGACCACACAAGAGAAUCUGAAGCAGAGCCAUCAUGCCAUGGCGCACACAUGGAGGACAGAGUUCUGGAGCUGGUCCUUGCCUCUCACCUUUUGAAGUAGCCCCUUUCCUUUCUGAUGCUGCUCUCCGGACUCCAGACUUGCUGUCCAGUGAGCUCCUGCCUCAUUCUCCAUCUGCCUCCCUGCUCAAGGUUGGAGCGCGGGACCGCAACUGUCUCCCUGCUUAGCGGAUCUCUGCUUAGAUAAGCACGCAAGACCUGGUCCAGUUUGCACUGACUGGGACGUCACAGGAAAGAUGGGCUGUGUCUGGGUCCCCAUUUUUCUUCCUUCUCUGGAAGUGUGUGGUCCCAAUAAACGCAAGUGAAAUUUUGCA